rnacentral:rRNA from 1 species
UACGAAGGGGGGCUAGCGUUGUUCGGAAUUACUGGGCGUAAAGCGCGUGUAGGCGGGUCCUUAAGUCAGGCGUGAAAGCCCCCGGGCUCAACCUGGGAAUAGCGUUUGAUACUCUAUGGCUUGAGUUCGGGAGAGGUGAGUGGAAUUCCCAGUGUAGAGGUGAAAUUCGUAGAUAUUGGGAAGAACACCGGUGGCGAAGGCGGCUCACUGGACCGAUACUGACGCUGAGGCGCGAAAGCGUGGGGAGCAAACAGG